rnacentral:misc_RNA from 1 species
GAUGAAGAACGUAGCGAAAUGCGAUACGUAAUGUGAAUUGCAAAUUCAGUGAAUCAUCGAGACUUUGAACGCACAUUGCGCCCCCUGGUAUUCCGGGGGGCAUGCCUGUCCGAGCGUCAUUGCUGCCCUCAAGCACGGCUUGUGUGUUGGGCCCCGUCCUCCGAUCCCGGGGGACGGGCCCGAAAGGCAGCGGCGGCACCGCGUCCGGUCCUCGAGCGUAUGGGGCUUUGUCACCCGCUCUGUAGGCCCGGCCGGCGCUUGCCGAUCAACCCAAAUUUUUAUCCAGGUUGACCUCGGAUCAGGUAGGGAUACCCGCUGAACUUAAGCAUAUCAAUAAGCGGAGGA